CUAGUAUAGGUGGUUUUCGGGCCUUAUUUGUGUGGCGGAGGGAGGCGGAGCUAAUUAAUAUUCAGGUGGCGGAGAGGAGAGAGUCGAAGUGAAGCGGAGGUAUUAAUAUUCAGGUGGUCGAGGGAGGGGGAGAUAAUUAAUAUUCAGGUGGUGGAAUGCGGGAGGCGGAGUGAAGCGGAGGUAUUAAUAUUCAUGUGGUGGUGGAGGGUAGAGGGAG